CGUAACUUAGGGAUAAGGGGUGCCACCAUCAGGUGGCCGCAGAGAAUAGGCCCAAGCGACUGUUUACCAAAAACAUAGGUUUCUGCUAAGUCGCAAGACGAUGUAUAGGAGCUGACGCCUGCCCGGUGCUGGAAGGUUAAGGGGAUCUGUUAGAGCAAUCGAAGCAGUGAACUUAAGCCCCAGUAAACGGCGGCCGUAACUAUAACGGUCCUAAGGUAGCGAAAUUCCUUGUCGGGUAAGUUCCGACCCGCACGAAAGGCGUAACGAUUUGGGCACUGUCUCAACAACAGACUCGGUGAAAUUGUAAUUCCGGUGAAGAUGCCGGAUACCUGCGACAGGACGGAAAGACCCCAUGGAGCUUUACUGUAGCUUGACAUUGGGUCUUGGUACUACAUGUACAGGAUAGGUGGGAGGCUUUGAAACCAGGACGCCAGUUUUGGCGGAGCCAUCCUUGGGAUACCACCCUUGUAGUACUGGGACUCUAACCAUAGGCCAUGAAUCUGGUCUUGGGACACUGUCAGGUGGGCAGUUUGACUGGGGCGGUCGCCUCCCAAAAGGUAACGGAGGCGCUCAAAGGUUCUCUCAGUACGGUCGGAAAUCGUACGUAGAGUGUAAAGGCAAAAGAGAGCUUGAUUGCAAGACAUACAGGUCGAGCAAGGAUGAAAAUCGGACUUAGUGAUCCGGUGGUUCUGCGUGGAAGGGCCAUCGCUCAACGGAUAAAAGCUACCCUGGGGAUAACAGGCUUAUCUCCCCCAAGAGUCCACAUCGACGGGGAGGUUUGGCACCUCGAUGUCGGCUCAUCACAUCCUGGGGCUGUAGUAGGUCCCAAGGGUUGGGCUGUUCGCCCAUUAAAGUGGUACGCGAGCUGGGUUCAGAACGUCGUGAGACAGUUCGGUCCCUAUCCGUCGCAGGCGUAGGAAAUUUGAGAAGACCUGUCCUUAGUACGAGAGGACCGGGAUGGACG
rnacentral:rRNA from 1 species